rnacentral:rRNA from 1 species
CCUACGGGCGGCAGCAGUGGGGAAUAUUUGGCCAUGGGCGCAAGCCUGACCCCGCAACUCCGCGUGAAGGAAGAAGGCUUUCGGGUUGUAAACUUCUUUUGUCAGGGACGAAGCAAGUGACGGUACCUGACGAAUAAGCCAUGGCUAACUCCGUGCCAGCAGCCGCGGUAAUACGUAGGUGGCAAGCGUUAUCCGGAUUUACUGGGGGGAAAGGGCGUGUAGGCGGGGAAGCAAGUCAGAUGUGAAAACCACGGGCUCAACCUGUGGCCUGAAUUUGAAACUGUUUUUCUUGAGUGCUGGAGAGGCAAUCGGAAUUCCGUGUGUAGCGGUGAAAUGCGUAGAGAUACGGAGGAACACCAGUGGCGAAGGCGGAGUGCUGGACAGUAACUGACGCUGAGGCGCGAAAGCGUGGGGAGCAAACAGGAUUAGAUACCCGUGUAGUC